rnacentral:rRNA from 1 species
UACGUAGGCAGCAAGCGUUGUUCGGAAUUACUGGGCGUAAAGAGUGUGUAGGCGGUGUUCUAAGUCUGUUGUGAAAUCUCCCGGCUUAACUGGGAGGGUGCGGCGGAAACUGGAAUGCUAGAGGAUGGGAGAGGUAAGCGGAAUUCCUGGUGUAGCGGUGAAAUGCGUAGAUAUCAGGAAGAACACCCGUGGCGAAGGCGGCUCUCUGGGACGUGACUGACGCUGAGGCGCGAAAGCUAGGGGAGCAAACAGG